AUUGAACGCUGGCGGCAGGCCUAACACAUGCAAGUCGAGCGGAUGAGAGGAGCUUGCUCCUCGAUUCAGCGGCGGACGGGUGAGUAAUGCCUAGGAAUCUGCCCAGUAGUGGGGGACAACGUUUCGAAAGGAACGCUAAUACCGCAUACGUCCUACGGGAGAAAGUGGGGGAUCUUCGGACCUCACGCUAUUGGAUGAGCCUAGGUCGGAUUAGCUAGUUGGUAGGGUAAAGGCCUACCAAGGCGACGAUCCGUAACUGGUCUGAGAGGAUGGUCAGUCAGACUGGAACUGAGACACGGUCCAGACUCCUACGGGAGGCAGCAGUGGGGAAUAUUGGACAAUGGGCGCAAGCCUGAUCCAGCCAUGCCGCGUGUGUGAAGAAGGCCCUCGGGUCGUAAAGCACUUUAAGUUGGGAGGAAGGGCUUACAGCGAAUACCUGUGAGUUUUGACGUUACCGACAGAAUAAGCACCGGCUAACUUCGUGCCAGCCGCCGCGGUAA
rnacentral:rRNA from 1 species